GACGAACGCUGGCGGCGUGCCUAAUACAUGCAAGUCGAACGCAGUUGCGAACGGGUGUGUAACGCGUAGGUAACCGCCCCAUAGCGGGGGGUAAAUUAUGGGAACGAUAGCCAAUUCCCCCAUCUGUUAGCUGGACCUGCGUUGUGUUUGCGUGUUGGUGGGGUAAAGGCGCACCAAGGCUACGAUACAUACCCGGCCUGGGAGGGGGAGCGGGCACACUGUGACUUGGAACAGGCCCAGACUCCUACGGGGGGCAGCAGUAGGGAAUCUUCGGCAAUGGACGGAAGUCUGACCAAGCAACGCCGCGUGGGUGAAGAAGGUGUUCGGAUCGUAAAGCUCUGUUGUUAGAGAAGCGGUAACGAACCAGAAAGGGACGGCUAACUACGUGCCAGCAGCCGCGGUAAUUC
rnacentral:rRNA from 1 species